rnacentral:tRNA from 1 species
GCCUUCGUGGUGUAACGGUAGCACUCUGGGCCAAUAUUCCAGAGGUCCGUGGUUCGAUUCCCGACGAAGGCG